rnacentral:lncRNA from 1 species
AAGGAUCUUGUCUCUUUGUAAAGGAUGGCAUCCAUAUGAUCAAUGCAAGGAAGCUUUUGCUGGAUAUGCUGGAUUAUGGUGAUGCAGGAGCUAACCAUAAGCAUGACCCCAGGGGGAAAGCUGUUGUUGUUGGUGGCAAGAGCCCUUGACUCCUCUCGAACCAUCAACUCUCCCUCUAGAGGUUUUGUUCGUGCAUGCAUGAGGAGAUGUGUAAUCUUGCAUUUCAAAAUGAAUUUUAUUUAGUAAUGUAUUAUUAUUAUUAUUAUUGUACGCAGCCCACACAAUUGUGGGACUAAGAUAAGAUUUUACGUUGUAUAAUUCUAUGCGUGCAUGUCAGUGCUGAUUUGUGUAUGAACUUCUCAGGCAAUUGCUUAUCUUAUGUUCUAAUAAUAAAUAAUGAAGCAGAGCUGGCUUUUGCUACUUCAUACAAGAGAGUCUCCAGCAAAUGG